AGCUAUGUGUGGACGGGAUAAGUGCUGAAAGCAUCUAAGCAUGAAGCCCCCCUCAAGAUGAGAUUUCCCAACUUCGGUUAUAAGAUCCCUCAAAGAUGAUGAGGUUAAUAGGUUCGAGGUGGAAGCAUGGUGACAUGUGGAGCUGACGAAUACUAAUCGAUCGAAGACUUAAUCA
rnacentral:rRNA from 1 species